CCCUCGGUCCCGGCCCGCAAAGAAGCCUGGAGUCCGUGACGGGGUGGAAGGGCCUUCGUGUGGCGAGGCAAGCGGAGCAGAGCCCACGCCUGGGACCCCGCGUCCGAGGGGCGCCCCAGGAACCAGGGGUUCGAGAUUCCAGGGCUCGAGCCCCGCCCUGUCUCGUACUGACUGAUUUGGGACAGAAUAUUUAACUAGUUAGUCUUAGUGUCUUCCCUUGUAGGAUGUGGAAAAUAAUCAUACCAACCUCCGAGUUUUAGGAGGGUGAUGAAACAGUAUGAGGAAGAAAGUGCAUGGCACAGUAUUUCCUGUCAGCCUGUGGUGGGUUCUUUGAGGGCAGCGGCCCGCGGCGGUGUCUGGAGGCUUGAGGAUGGGCAUACUCCACUGGUCCGGGAGCAGGACCGUCUCCAUGGUAACUGGAUGGUUUUCAAAGUUUGGACUCUGUUAUCUUGACUUGGAAGACUGAGGAGGCGCUACAGUCUUUGUGAAAGGUGCCUCAAACUUAGCCUGAUGAUUAACGCUCGUAAUUAGGCCAUUGGAUCAGGGUACUGUCACCAAGUUGGAUGGAAUCCCCUGCGUCUCUCAGCACACCCCUUGAGACCUGAAAAUAUUUCUCCAAGCAUUUCUACUCACUUGAUUUUGGAAAACGUUGACAAGACUCUCUACUCCACAUGUAGUUGUGACAGAGCAAAUAUAACAGGUUUUUUUUUUCGUCACAGAACAAAGAUGAGGCAGUUUGAAAACUGGAGCAGAAAAACAAACUGAUUAAUCUGCCUAAAUCAAUCUGAUUAAUCUGCCUAAAUUCACUUUAGUUUGCAUUUGUAAUUUGUAAUUUGACCUGCCUGAUUGAGGGCUUGGUAUGACUGAGGUGGGGCUUUCAGUUUCCCUCAGGAGCUUGUUGAGUAAUGGGCAGGACAAAUGAUGAUCUUGGAAAAACAGCAGCCCAUGCUUCCUUCUUCAUAAUAUGAUGCCUUUGUUCUGCAUUAUUAAAGAAAAGGGGGCGGGGUGCAAAGGCAUGUUUUGGAGCAAAACUCUUCCUCAUUGUAGGCCAGUCCUUGACUCCAAGGGCAUAAAGUGGAGCUAAGUCUGCUUCCGUAUAAAAAGUAUGUCUAGAAAAUGAAGACCAGGAAAAGACAAAGAGUACAUGAAGGUAUAGCCAAAUUCUGGUUUCCUCCUACACAUCUUAAAAGUGUAAACAGUGCCAAGAGAAGGCUGGCCUAGAAUCUUUAAUCUUCGUGAUUUCCCACACUCCAGAUUUGUUCUUGUCCUUGUGGGACCAAAAAUUUUGUCUGAUUUUCAGUAUUCUAGGGUUGAUUAGCACUGUUGUAUAAAAUCAGAAUUUUACAUUUGGUGUGCAAAGUUAAGUAAAAGUGAAAAAAAUGAAAUAACCCUUUUAGGUAUGUCACUCAACAAAUGUUCUACGGCAACCACAGAAUGCAAUCACCUUUGUAGUGCUGGGAUCCACUAAGCAAAAAUAGAAGAAACAGACUUCAGCGAGGAAAUCAGACGACCAAGACAAGUCUUAUCUAUGUGGCAGCACAGAUGAAGUUACCGCCAUUUCGUAGUGAAAAGAAGCUAGCCCUCCAAGAGCACCCUUGCUGAGUUAGCUUCUAAGAAGGUGCCCUUGGAGAGCUGGGUGGUGUAGGAUGGCUGUCCUUGAGGUUCAUUCACCAGUAGCCUGUCGGAGCUAAUUACUUGUGCAGGGCAGAGCCCUUCAAAUCACCAUCCAUUCUUCCUGUGAAGCCCCCAUUGAAGACAAACCAUGACUACUCCGUGAAUAUUUGAACAAGCUCUCUAGGAGAUCAAGCAUGGCGUUUUCUUCACUGACUGCACACCUCAGGCAGCCCAUACCCAGCUCAAGGUGCAGGGUGGAGGCUAGGGGUAGGUGAGUUUGUGUGCUUUGUUAUCAGGCUUCUUCAGGAAGCACAGGUACCAUUAGUCUGCAUAGACUGAAAAUACAAAGAUGUGGGCUUCAUGAAGGAUGUUUUUUCUGAGUGCUGUCUCAUUAAGG
ensembl:lncRNA